rnacentral:lncRNA from 1 species
UAUGUACCUCUUUAGUUUUGUAUUAUGCGCAUCAGCGACGAACAAGAGCAUCCUACGAUGGAAUCUUAAGAAACAUAUGAAAAACUACUGCACGUGCAGCCUCUACUAUAUAUUUUCACAUUGGAGGAGAAAACUGCUUUACAACCGAGACUACUCAAGAUGGUACCACAGGGUCACUUCUCAUGUUGUUAUUCUUUUUCUUGACUUCUAAUUAGUGCAGUUUUCUUUGUUUGUUUUUUAUGAAAUAAGAUAUACACAAUAUAAUACAAU